GGCUUUACUUUUGGUUCUUUUUAGUUGUAUCAGCUCAUCACGUUUAUAGUUAGUUUUGGACCUCCAAAUAUUUUGGCUGGAGCAUCACUGAGGAGAUACUUUAAUACGGUCGAAGUAUGCAUCUGUUGCAAUUACAAUCGGUACAGUUAUAAUGUUAAUAUUAUUACGUAAUUAGUACGUAUAUCAUGUACUGACUUACUAUAUUGUUUUUAGUUGUUAUUAAACUUAUGGUUUAAUUAAUUGUGUUAAUAUAUGUUUUCAUUUUAGUAUUAUUGUCAUUUUGUUUAUU
rnacentral:lncRNA from 1 species